UCACCAAAGCCUUGUCAGCUCUGGGGGAUGGCCAAAGAGUGCCAAAAUCCCGGGUUUUGGCCUCAAAAUCUGCAGGGAUGUGGCAAUGGGAUCACCAGGAUGAUGGGAUGGCCAAAGGGUGCCAAAAUCCCUGGUUUUGGCCCCAAAAUCUGCAGGGAUGAUGGGCACGUGGCAAUGGGAUCACCAAAGCCUUGUCAGUCCUGUGGGGCGGCCAAAGGAUCCCAAAAUCCCGGGUUUUGGCCCCAAAAUCUGCAGGGAUGAUGGGCACGUGGCAAUGGGAUCACCAGGACUAUGGGAUGGUCAAAGGGUGCCAAAAUCCCUGGUUUUGGCCCCAAAAUCUGCAGGGAUGUGGCAAUGGGAUCACCAGGACGAUGGGAUGGUCAAAGGAUCCCAAAAUCCCGGGUUUUGGCCUCAAAAUCUGCAGGGAUGUGGCAAUGGGAUCACCAGGAUUGUGGGAUGGCCAAAUGGUGCCAAAAUCCCUGGUUUUGGCCUCAAAAGCCGCAGGGAUUCCCAAGGAUGACUGAGAUGAGGCAAUGGGAUCACCAGGAUGAUGGGAUGGUCAAAGGGUGCCAAAAUCCCUGGUUUUGGCCCCAAAAUCUGCAGGGAUGUGGCAAUGGGAUCACCAGGACUAUGGGAUGGCCAAAGGAUCCCAAAAUCCCUGGUUUUGGCCUCAAAACCUGCAGGACUCUGUCAGUCCCAGGAGACAGGACAGGUGUGGCAAGAGGGGUGCCAAAAAUCCCACUUUUGUCCUCAAAAUGCACAGGGAAGGAGCCCCGAGGGCCACAGGGAUUCAGGAAUGGGAUUGUGGAGG
rnacentral:lncRNA from 1 species